UACGGAGGGUGCGAGCGUUGUUCGGAAUCACUGGGCGUAAAGGGCGUGUAGGCGGUCCGCUAAGUCUGAUGUGAAAGCCCGGGGCUCACCCCCGGAAGGGCAUUGGAAACUGACGGACUCGAGUCCCGGAGAGGAGAGUGGAAUUCCUGGUGUAGCGGUGAAAUGCGUAGAUAUCAGGAGGAACACCGGUGGCGAAGGCGGCUCUCUGGGACGGUACUGACGCUGAGACGCGAAAGCGUGGGGAGCGAACAGG
rnacentral:rRNA from 1 species